GUGGAGCAUUCCUUAUCUGGAAUUCUGAAAUACACCAAAAUCAUCCACAGGGGUAGCUAUUAGUGACACACUUCCUUUCUGAUUAUUCAGUGCACACAGCUUUACUUCUCCCCAUCAUAUGAGUCAGCUGGGAGCAGUUCCUGGAUGCAGUCAUGGCUGGAUGAGGGCCAAUAAACUGAAGCUGAAAACCAACAUGAAGGAAGUUCUGUAGAUUCAUGAUUCUUGGGUCCAGGAAUUGGGAAGCCACAGAGAUGGGUGUCAACUUUGACUGCUUCAGGAAUUCCAGACGGCUCUGUUAUAAACUUCAUCCAUCACUGAGGAAGACUGACUGAAGAUUGGGACAUGGGGAGAAUUAAUAUUAAGAAUAUGAUGUAUGGACUUGGUGAAAAAUGCUUUCUUUUGUAUAUGGUUUAGCCAAUGUAGACUUUCAGAUGUGAGAGCUGACAAUGCCAAAACAUUUUUUUAUUUACUGUUUGAAGGGGGAUGGGAUGGAAGAUGGUAUUAUGCUUGUGCCUAUUAUUCGCAGGAAUAUUAAAAUCUUUAGUGAUUAUUUCUA